UUGAUGGAAAAGAAUUUUCAUAGAGUCACAUAUGGACUCAAGCUGAUUGAAUCUAUCAUAUGACCGAUGUUGAGGUUUGACGAUUCAUCCAUGACCUGCCAUCUGGUCAGAACUCACGAUAGAGGGACUGUAUCAUAUGCUAACUAUACCUAGAGGUUCAUCAUCUUUUAUUCUACUAAGUUGCUACUACAUACUGCUAGGUGUCAUUGGUGGAUUGUGAGACUCAUGAGGAUCAUCUUAAUGAUCAAUGAUCCUUAGUGGAC
rnacentral:lncRNA from 1 species